AGAGAUGUCAGUUUUAGUUUGAAACAUAAACAUAUUUUUAUUUAUACAUUAGUGCUUAUAGUGAUCAAUGACCAUCUGUGCAGUAUAUUAGAAUUUGGUUUUGAUCAGUAGAAAGCAAUUAUUCAUAAAACUCAAAACAGAAGGCAAAGUUGUGAAAGAAAGAAGAAGAAUUAUGUCCUUCUUACAGGGAAGGUAAUUUUAAUAUAGACGAGAUUGGCCCAAGUCCUGCAGUUUGGAUUGAUAGAUUAUCUAGCAGAACUAUCAUUUCAAUAAUCUCAAUGACAGUGUAGCAGUGGAUACUUGGUACAAUAUUAUAAAUUAAAUUUACUGCAAAUGUCAUUGAAGAGAAUAUGGAAAGAGAUCUGUCAUUUGUAUUUGUAGAAGUUAAGAUAGGGAAAAAUUUAAGAUUCUUUGACAAAACAUAACAAAAAUUAUCUACAUGAUAUAGUUAUGAUAUGCUACCAGUUGUCUAAAAGAUUUCCUUCAUCACUACUUUGCUCAUUAGGAUUCUUGAAUUUUCCUAUAUAUUUAUUUGAUCAAAGAGAGAUUAUAUUCUUUUAAACACAGAUUUUUUUAUUAAAUUCCUGGAUUUAAGAAUAUCCGAUGUCCAUUUUUCAGAAGCACAUUUUUUAGAAAGUAUGAACUGCGUCGAUCUAAUUACAGUCUACUUAUACAACUGGAAGCUAACAGUGAAUUGGAAAAUAAAUAUUCACCUCCAUGCAGAGCUAUGUUAGCCUGACAGUGAUGUUUGCAGCAUAGAUACCAUGUUGGUGGUAUAACGGUUCUGGAAUACAGAGGACUAAGUUGCCAGCAGGUCAAGAUCCUUUCCUGCUACUCAGCAGUGGUGAGACCACACAUGGAGGGCUGAGCCUAGUUCUGGGCUUCUCACAUCAAGAGAGAUAUGGAUAUAACAAAAAGAGCCCAACAAAGGGCUGCAAAAAUGAUCCAGGCACUGGAGAAUCUCUCAGAGGUGUGAUGAGGAGCAACAGGAAAGAGGACAGAACAAGGACCAGAGCCAGUGGUUGAAAACUGAGACAGGAAGCUUCAUUUGAAGGUCAGAAAACAUUGUUUUUCCAUGAUGGUGACCAAGCACUGGCAUAUUCAGGUGUGUCACUGGUUACUCAGGGAGCUUGUGCCAUCUAUUCUUAAAGGUAUUCAAAAAUCAUUUGGAUGUGUUCUUUGGUAACGUGCUCUGAGUGGCCUUGCUUGAGCAGGGAUUUGGGACAAGAACACUCCUAGAAGUCCUUUCCAAU